UGGGGAAUUUUGCGCAAUGGGGGCAACCCUGACGCAGCAACGCCGCGUGCGGGAUGACGGCCUUCGGGUUGUAAACCGCUUUCAGCAGGGAAGACCGACGACGGUACCUGCAGAAGAAGCCCCGGCUAACUACGUGCCAGCAGCCGCGGUAAUACGUAGGGGGCGAGCGUUAUCCGGAUUCAUUGGGCGUAAAGCGCGCGUAGGCGGCGCGCCAAGCGGAACCUCUAACCUCGGGGCUCAACCUCGAGCCGGGUUCCGAACUGGCGCGCUCGAGUUCGGUAGAGGCAGGCGGAAUUCCCGGUGUAGCGGUGGAAUGCGCAGAUAUCGGGAAGAACACCGAUGGCGAAGGCAGCCUGCUGGGCCGACACUGACGCUGAGGUGCGAAAGCUAGGGGAGCGAACAGG
rnacentral:rRNA from 1 species